AUUGAACGCUGGCGGCAUGCUUUACACAUGCAAGUCGAACGGUAACAGGCCGCAAGGUGCUGACGAGUGGCGAACGGGUGAGUAAUGCAUCGGAACGUGCCCAGUCGUGGGGGAUAACGCAGCGAAAGCUGCGCUAAUACCGCAUACGAUCUAUGGAUGAAAGCGGGGGACCGUAAGGCCUCGCGCGAUUGGAGCGGCCGAUGUCAGAUUAGGUAGUUGGUGGGGUAAAGGCUCACCAAGCCGACGAUCUGUAGCUGGUCUGAGAGGACGACCAGCCACACUGGGACUGAGACACGGCCCAGACUCCUACGGGGGGCAGCAGUGGGGAAUUUUGGACAAUGGGCGCAAGCCUGAUCCAGCAAUGCCGCGUGCAGGAAGAAGGCCUUCGGGUUGUAAACUGCUUUUGUACGGAACGAAACGGCUCUGGUUAAUACCUGGGGCUAAUGACGGUACCGUAAGAAUAAGCACAGGCUAACUACGUGCCAGCAGCCGCCGCGGUAA
rnacentral:rRNA from 1 species